CCAGAGAGCUUCCGCCUUCGGUCCCCCCCUGCGCCUCUCAACGGAGAGGCGUCGCGGCGGCGACGAUUGCGGGAGUAUCCCACACCCGUGUCUAACAUACCUCUGUUGCUUUGGUGGGCCGUGGUCUCCACUACGGGUUCUACCUGUAUGUGCCCGCCAGAGGAUCAAAUUCUGAAUUUUUAAUGAUGUCGAGUACUAUAAUAAUAGUUA
rnacentral:misc_RNA from 1 species